UUAAACAAGAUUCAGACAAAUAUCACAUCUGAGUUACAGUUCAUUUCGACACGAGAAUUUCGCAAAUCGCUAUGCAGGAGGAGGGUGUGCAUCUGUCUCCAGACGGAUAGCCCGACGAGGAAGGUGGUCAGUGUGACCAAUAACACAAAGCUCGUCGAGUUAAAUGCGGAUGUUGGCGCAGUGACACUGAUAAGGAACCAUCGGGAUGCGCCUAUUUUCAGCCCUUCUGCAGACGUCCAACAUAUAACCAGUGAAGAAGUGCGAAUAACUUCAACGGGUAUAUAUUUCCAUAAAUUUAAAAUAUAUUUUUGUGAACAGACAGAAUGGGAAGCACGGUGAUGGACUCCAAGAAAAAGGACAUUGCAAAGAAAUCGAAGAAAAAGCGAUCUCUGAGAUUAAACAUGCCUGAUUUAAGUACAUUUGCAUCCUCUCUUAUGGAUGGAGAGACAGAGGGAUCAGGAAAAGAUGAGAUGCGAAAGGAGGAGAAAAGGGGUUCACCCAGCCCUACAAAAACCUCAUGUGUGAGAUCAUCUGCCAGCCAGCCCUGUACCCCAGCUGCAUCCUCAUAUUCCAGGAUCAGUCCAAGCUCACCCAGAACCAUCUUCCACCGUCCACCAUCUUCUCACCAGGACUCACCUCCCAAAUCUCCCCGCCGGCUCAGUUUCAGUGGGAUCUUCCGCUCCUCGUCCAGCUCGGCUCCUGCCAGCAUCAAGCUCUUUUCCAAAUCUAGAAAAGGUUCUGGGAUUUCCACUCCCCCCACCACCCCGACGCAGAGUCCGGUUCCUCCGAUCUUCCCCCUGGAGACUUCCAGUUCUCCAGAGCGCAUGGAGGAACGCCGCUCCCGCUCUAUGUCCUCUCCGCCUGACACAGGUCAGCGCUUUAGCCUGACCUCCUCCUACACCAAACCCCCUAUUGCUGCGCACACAUUUUACUCUACCUCACGCCAGAGUUACGGAUUUGCUGAAGGCAUGCUGGAAAAACUUGAACUUUAUGAUGAAGCUACUGAAGAGCCAGGCAGUGAUAUUUACAUGCGCUUUAUGAAAUCCCACAAGUGCUACGACCUCAUCCCUACCAGUUCCAAACUAGUGGUCUUUGACACUACACUAGAGGUAAAGAAAGCUUUCUUUGCCUUAGUCGCUAAUGGAGUUCGAGCUGCUCCAUUAUGGGAAACCAAAAAGCAAAGCUUUGUGGGAAUGUUAACCAUCACAGACUUUAUCAUCAUACUGCAUCGAUACUACAAAUCACCUCUGGUGCAAAUAUAUGAGCUGGAGGAGCAUAAAAUUGAGACUUGGAGAGAACUUUAUCUGCAAGAAACUUUCAAACCCUUGGUCAACAUAUCUCCAGAUGCAAGUAUAUUCGAUGCUGUUUACUCGCUGAUAAAAAAUAAGAUCCACCGUCUGCCAGUGAUCGAUCCCGUCACAGGAAAUGCACUCUACAUUCUCACACACAAAAGAAUCCUCAAGUUUCUGCAGCUCUUUGUGUGUGAGAUGCCCAAACCAGCCUUCAUGAGGCAAACUCUAGAUGAACUGGGCAUUGGCACAUACAACAACAUAGCUUUCAUUCAUCCAGAUACACCCAUCAUUAAAGCACUGGGCAUCUUUGUGGAGAGGAGAGUUUCUGCCCUGCCUGUGGUGGACGUUAAGGGAAAGGUUGUGGACAUUUACUCCAAAUUUGAUGUUAUUAACCUGGCUGCUGAAAAGACCUACAAUAACCUGGACAUCACAGUGACCCAGGCUCUACUCCACCGCUCGCAGUACUUUGAAGGAGUUAUGAAAUGCCAUCGUAAUGAGACUCUGGAGACCAUAGUGGACAGAAUAGUCAAAGCCGAGGUGCACAGGCUGGUAGUAGUGGAUGAGAACUCAAGCAUUGAGGGCAUCAUCUCCCUGUCUGAUAUCCUGCAGGCGCUGGUACUCACACCCGCAGGUAUAGACGCACAGAAUUCCUAAUCCCACCUCCCAUUUCACUUUUCCUUCUCUCCUCUCCACUCUUCCCCGGACCCCAACUCUUCUCCACCUGGACAUCUACCACCCGAGUGUCCCUCUCUGACCCCCUGGCCACAGGAGGACGCAGAAGGGACAGUGUGACGGAAUGAUGAUUUUAAAGGUACGAGACAAAUACGAAUUUCCAUUCGGAGAACCGACAGCUCCCGCAGGAAGCACCAAGAGACAUUUUUAGAUCCUCAUUUAUGGGCAGAAAAUUCGAAUGAUACCAUUUAAAUCUCCAGCAGUAGGAAUGAACGUGAUCAUACGCACACAUUAUUCGAUGUUCAUGGUGGGCCAGUCAUCUGAAUCUGCCGCUAUACUGUACACUGCUUUGAAUGCUGGGCAUGUUUGCCUAGUUAUGCUGCUGGUUUUGAUAGCCAUCACUGAUAGUGCUAAUUUAAGAACAGGGAGGAAGUCUCUUUUUGUGUUCUUGCAGGGUCUGGGUUAUAUCAUUGGCACUGGGAUCUAUUCUUGGUUAAGUGUUUGAAGUGGAAACUUUCCUUAAAUUAAGACCUUGCUGAGAGUAGAUGUAUUUGAGUGUAUUGGUUAGAUGAGCGAUACAGACUUGCAGGUUCUUGAUUCUUGUGCAAUAAGAAGCAAUUGCCAUUGUUUUUGUUUGUAAAAAGUUCGAGAACCUGGCAGUAGGUGGUGCAAGUGUAAGGACUGUAGACAUUUGGCAGUUUUUAUGAAUCCCAAAUAAAAAUAAAUUGUGAUAUUAUUUUUAGGACCAUUAGGGUUUAUUUAGUGUAAAUACCAUUUCCCCCUUUAUAUUCUGAGUAACAUAUACCGUCUGGAUAUUUUUAUUUAUUUUUUUGCAGUAAAUACUGUACUAUGUGUUUUUUUUUAUCAGACAGGACAACAAAUGUACAUAAAUUUUUGCAUUAUUGAGGUUAUGAGGGUUGGGGCAGAGUUGUAAUAAGCUAGGUUUUGUUCAAUGCAAGAUUUUUUUUGUUUUGGUUAAUAUAUGAUGUGAACAGGUUUCAUGAGGUUGCCUUUUAUCAAAUACUGUAUUAAUUGUGCCUUUUCACCCCCUAUAGAUUGUCUAUGGAAAAUGAAUGUAUGUACGCACUGUUGUAGGCUGUAUUUUUACUGGAACUAAGAAUGUCCUAUGGUAAGAGACUAUAUACUGUAUACAGAGCUUUAUUUUUCUAUUGUGACUUUCUAUAGUGUUGUUGCUUGUAUGUUACCCAUCAUAAACACUAAAGAGCAUGAAUAUCAAAGCUUGCAGUUGCCGAUUGAAAUGCGCUUCUUUGCACUUCGGUUCAUGUGCUACUAUAAACACAAGUGCUCUGAGAACACAUGCCGAUACUGUUUUAUUGGCAUGCGUUUAAAAAAAAUACAAAUCCUCAUGUUUGAUUGAAUUUUUAUUUUUCCUUAUUAAAACUUCUUCCGUGAAAGAUGAAAAGUG